GGGGAUUUAGCUCAGCGGCAUAAGCGCCUGCCUGGCAAGUAGGCAGCUGUGGGUUCGAUUCCCCAGUACCGA
rfam:Cavia porcellus supercont2_42 genomic scaffold, whole genome shotgun sequence.